rnacentral:rRNA from 1 species
UACGAAGGGGGCUAGCGUUGCUCGGAAUCACUGGGCGUAAAGCGCACGUAGGCGGCUUUUUAAGUCAGGGGUGAAAUCCUGGAGCUCAACUCCAGAACUGCCUUUGAUACUGGGAAGCUCGAGUCCGGGAGAGGUGAGUGGAACUCCGAGUGUAGAGGUGAAAUUCGUAGAUGUUCGGAAGAACACCAGUGGCGAAGGCGGCUCACUGGCCCGGUACUGACGCUGAGGUGCGAAAGCGUGGGGAGCAAACAGG